rnacentral:rRNA from 1 species
UUCCGGUUGAUCCUGCCGGAGGCUACCGCUAUUGGAGUUCGAUUAAGCCAUGCGAGUCGCGAGUCUUAGGGACUCGGCGUACCGCUCAGUAACACGUGGGUAACCUGCCCUAUGCUGGGGGAUAACCUCGGGAAACUGAGAAUAAUACCCCAUAGUUCACCACACCUGGAACGGUGGGUGGAUCAAAGCUCCGGCGGCAUAGGAUGGGCCUGCGGCGUAUCAGGUUGUAGGGGGUGUAAUGUACCCUCUAGCCCUCUACGCGUACGGGUGUUGAGAGACAUCGCCCGGAGAUGGAUUCUGAGACACGAAUCCAGACCCUACGGGGUGCAGCAGGCGCGAAAACUUGGCAAUGCGAGAAAUCGUGACCAGGGAACUCCAAGUGCAUCGGGUAAGACCGAUGCUUUUCUUGACUCUUCAAAGGUCUUGGAAUAAGGGGUGGGUAAGGACGGUGCCAGCCGCCGCGGUAAUACCGGCGCCCCAAGUGGUAGUCGCUUUUAUUGGGCCUAAAACGUCCGUAGCCGGUCUGGUACAUUCGUGGGUAAAUCAACCAGCUCAACUGGUUGAAUUCUGCGAGCACGGCCAGACUUGGGACCGGGAGAGGUGUGGGGUACUCUCAGGGUAGGGGUAAAAUCCUGUCAUCCUGAGAGGACCACCUGUUGCGAAGGCGCCACACUAGAACGGAUCCGACGGUCAGGGACGAAGCCUAGGGGCACGAACCGGAUUAGAUACCCGGGUAGUCCUAGGUGUAAACGCUGUGGACUUGAUGUUGGGGGCGCUCCGAGCGCACUCAGUGUCGAAGCGAAGGUGAUAAGUCCACUGCCUGGGGAGUACGGUCGCAAGGCUGAAACUUAAAGGAAUUGGCGGGGGAGCACCGCAACCUGAGGAUUGUGCGGUUUAAUUGGAGUCAACGCCGG